GUGAGCUUAGAGGGGCGUGUCAUUUGACUUUGUGAUGGAGCCGGACGGAAGUUGAGCGCACGGACCCUUUAAAAGUGGGGAACAUUCCUUUCUUCGGGUUCUCUCUCUGUUUUGGGAAACUGGCUGCAGUGGAGGUGUGUAACGACUCCCUUACCUGUGUAAGCACGAGGUUUAUACCUUUUCCGGACCUCUCUUAGUCGCGCUGAACACCAAGGUAGUUCCCGCAUCAAACUUUUAUUUCAUCUGCGUGACAUUGUCCGCUAUUGUGCAUCAGAGGAACGCUGAUUUUCUGCGCUGUGCGUGGGCCUGUGGGUACUUCCAAAUCAUUCACAGUCGUGUGAUCCAGAUUUAUGAAUGGUGCGUUGACAUUGCUGGGGGGCCUGAUCAAGGUGCGCUACAGAGGGCUGCUGUUUCGCUGCUGUGGAAUUUACAGUCGUUGGACAUUCCUGUUGAUGCCCUCAAUCUUCUGACGUUUCAUCCUGUGUGUGUGUGCGUUCGCGCGCGUGUGUGUGUGUUUAGCAAUGAUGUGUGACUGCGUGGAGUAUUAGGUUUAGCUGUUAAAUUGUGUAUUGGUGUUUUGUUUGUUUAACCCCAUGUGUGUAUUUUGAGAGGUCACACGGGUAUUAGACCAUUUAUUAUUCUGUACAUCUGACUCAUAUAAGUGACCUGGGGAAUUUGUAUUGCCUAUUUCAUUUAUAAUCUUUUUUUUUGUUUCUUUUUUUGUGUGGAGGUUGGUUUGUUUAAUUGAAAUGGUUUGUUUCACUAACUGGAAGUGAUUGGUUUUUUUACUUUGUGUGUGGGAUUUUCUUUCUUUAUAUUGGUACCAAUUAGUAUUAUUAUUGUGUGAUUCAUUACCUCAGGGUAUCUAUGAGACAAAUGGUCUAAGAACUAAGUGUCCCCCAACAUAUGGUAUGGAUGCUGUGUAGUGUGUUUACGUCUUUUAUGUGAAUGUGGAUGUUUGUAUUUUUAUACCACUAAAUUAAAGAUUGAAUAAGCACACCCUUGUUGUCUUCCUCCAUUUGGUUGGGGGGCCUGUUGUAAGGGGAAUUGAAUAUUAAUACCCCUUUGUUACAUAUAACUUGACACUGUCACAUUUGGCGUAGUCGGGCAGGGUCAUUGUAACAGGGUGUGCUGUGUAAAUCUGUUUAUUUUGUAUGGUGUUUUUUUCUUUUUUUUCUUUUUUUUCUGUGUUUUGUAUAUUUGGAUAUUUUGGUGUGAGUGUGUUUAUUUUGCAGCAGCGGGACAGCAGCAGGCAGUGGUAAAGAGUGUUUCGUGAAGUUGCUGACUUGAGUUACCAGUAAGUCCAAAUUUUUUUUCUUUUCUCUCUUCUUUUGAUUACCAAUGGAGAGUGAAGUAGAGGAGUUGCGACAGCAGGUUCAGCUCCUGCAGACAGAGAAUGAACAGUUACAGCGUCAAGCUAAUUCUGUAGCAGGGCCCUCGGCUAAUGUCAGUGCCUCAAACGUGGACUUAAAUGUGCGUGCCUCCAGUACAGCUGGUGCCACCAGGCCCAUUACAGAACGUGUUAUUUUUUUUCCUAGAGAACGACGAUGUCCUAUGUUUAAUGGAAGGGAAG